GUGCUCACUUUAGCAGUACAUAUAUAAAAAUUGGAACUAUGCAGGGAAGAUGAGCACGGUCCUGUUGAAGGAUGACACACAUUCAGGAAGUGUCCUGUGUUUUU